rnacentral:rRNA from 1 species
GAUGAACGCUGGCGGCGUGCCUAAUACAUGCCAGUCGAGCGAACGGACGAGAAGCUUGCUUCUCUGAUGUUAGCGGCGGACGGGUGAGUAACACGUGGAUAACCUACCUAUAAGACUGGGAUAACUUCGGGAAACCGGAGCUAAUACCGGAUAAUAUUUUGAACCGCAUGGUUCAAAAGUGAAAGACGGUCUUGCUGUCACUUAUAGAUGGAUCCGCGCUGCAUUAGCUAGUUGGUAAGGUAACGGCUUACCAAGGCAACGAUGCAUAGCCGACCUGAGAGGGUGAUCGGCCACACGGUAACUGAGACACGGUCCAGACUCCUACGGGAGGCAGCAGUAGGGAAUCUUCCGCAAUGGGCGAAAGCCUGACGGAGCAACGCCGCGUGAGUGAUGAAGGUCUUCGGAUCGUAAAACUCUGUUAUUAGGGAAGAACAUAUGUGUAAGUAACUGUGCACAUCUUGACGGUACCUAAUCAGAAAGCCACGGCUAACUACGUG